UAUUUUAAAAAAUUAAUUUAUUUAUAAAAUAUAAAUUUUAUGAUUAAUUAUUUAUUAAUAAAGUUUUAUAAAAAUUAUUUAUUUUAGUAAAAAUUUUAAACUAAUAAAAUUAUUUAUAGUUUAAAGUAAUGAAAAUGAAUUUUAUAAAAAAUAUAUAAGUAAAAUAUAUUUUGUACCUUUUGUAUCAGGGUUAAUUAAUUUAUUUUAAUAAUUUAAAUAUCUCGAAAAUAAAUGAUCUAAAUAUAUAUAAAUUAUGAAUAUUUUUGUUAAAUAAAAAAAUUAAAUAUAUAUUUAGAAAUUAAAUGUUUGUCGUAUUUAUUUAUAUCUAGUUUUUUUUGAAAUAAAUUUAAUUUAUAUUUUAAAAUAAUUAAUAAAAUAAUAUUAUUUUAUUAAUUUUUAAAAAUAAAAAAUUUAUGGGAUAAACUAUAAAUUUAAUAUAUCAUAUUUAUAAUUAUAAUUAAAAUUUUGAUUUUAAAAUUGAAUAAUAANNNNNNNNNNNNNNNNNNNNNNNNNNNNNNNAUUUUAAAGAUUUAUUAUUAAUAAAUUUUUAAAUAUAUAUAAUUUUUAAAAAAAAAAUAUUUUAAAUUUUUAAAAAUAAAUUAAAAUGAUUAAAUUAGUAAUAUAAUUUUGUAUAUUAUGUAAAUAAAUUAUAUAUAUAUAUAUAAGGAAUUAGGCAAAAUAAUUAUAUUCACCUGUUUAUCAAAAACAUGUCUUAUUGUUAAUAAUUUUAAGUCGAUCUGCCCAAUGAUAAUUAUUUAAUGGCUGCAGUAUAACUGACUGUACAAAGGUAGCAUAAUCAAUUGGUUUUUAAAUGAAAUCUGGAAUGAAAGGAUUAAUGAAAUAUAUUCUGUCUCAUAUAUAUUUUAUGAAUUUAAAAUUUUAAUAAAAAUGUUAAAAUUUUUUUAUGGGACGAUAAGACCCUAUAGAAUUUUAUAUAAAAUUUUAUUUGUAAUUAAUAUAAAUUAAAGUUUUAUAUUUAAUUGGGAGAAUUAUUAAAUUUAAUAAAUUUUAAUUUUUAUAAACUUUGAUUUAAGAAAAUUGAAUUGAUCUUUAAUUUAAAAUUAUUAGAAUAAAUUACCUUAGGGAUAACAGCGUUAUAUUUUUUUAUAGAUCUUAUAGAAAAAAAUGAUUGCGACCUCGAUGUUGAAUUAAGAUAAAUUUUAAAUGCAGGAGUUUAAUAAUUAAGUCUGUUCGACUUUUAAUAUCUUACAUGAUUUGAGUUCAAAUCGACGUAAGUCAGAUUGGUUUCUAUCUAUAAAUAUAUUUUAAAUUAUUUGUACGAAAGGACUAUAAUUUAUAAAUAUUUUAUUUUAGAUUAAUAAAUAUAUUUAAUAAAAAUUAUUUUAGCAUAUUUAGUGCUUUAAAUUUAGAAUUU
rnacentral:rRNA from 1 species